GGAAGGAUCAUUACUGAAUUGUCGGACGGGCUGUUGCUGGUCCUCGAAUGGGGACAUGUGCACGCUCUGUUUACACAUCCACUCACACCUGUGCACCCUCUGUAGUUUUACGGUCUGGGGGACCCUGUCUUCCUUCCGUAGUUCUACGUCUUUACACACACACUGUAAUAAAGUCUUAUGGAAUGUAUGCCGCGUCUAACGCAACACAAUACAACUUUCAGCAACGGAUCUCUUGGCUCUCGCAUCGAUGAAGAACGCAGCGAAAUGCGAUAAGUAAUGUGAAUUGCAGAAUUCAGUGAAUCAUCGAAUCUUUGAACGCACCUUGCGCCCCUUGGAUAUUCCGAGGGGCAUGCCUGUUUGAGUAUCAUGAACACCUCAACUCUCAUGGUUUGCCGUGACGAGCUUGGACCUUGGGGGUUUUGCUGGCCUGUGGUCGGCUCCUCUCAAAUGAAUCAGCCUCCCGGUGUUUGGUGGCAUCACGAGUGUGAUAACUAUCUACGCUCGCGGUUGUCCACCAGGUAACCUUUGGUGACAAAGGUUCGCUGGAGCUCACAGAUGUCUCUCCUCAGCGAGGACAGCUUUUUAACGUUCGAUCUCAAAUCAGG
rnacentral:sRNA from 1 species